rnacentral:misc_RNA from 1 species
GAUGAAGAACGCAGCGAAAUGCGAUAAGUAAUGUGAAUUGCAGAAUUCAGUGAAUCAUCGAAUCUUUGAACGCACCUUGCGCUCUUUGGUAUUCCGAAGAGCAUGCCUGUUUGAGAGUCAUGAAAAUAUCAACCUUGACUUGGGUUUUGUGCUCUAGUCUCGGCUUGGAAUUGGGUGCUUGCCGCUUUUACGAGCGGCUCACCUUAAAUGUAUUAGCUGGAUCUGUCUUUGAGACUUGGUUUGACUUGGCGUAAUAAGUAUUUCGCUAAGGACAUUCUUCGGAGUGGCCUCGUUUCUAGGACGCUUGUCCGCUUUCCAAUACAAGUUCCACCUCGUGGACAUGACUUUUUAUUAUCUGGCCUCAAAUCAGGUAGGACUACCCGCUGAACUUAAGCAUAUCAAUAAGCGGAGGA